UCCGGUUUUUCACCGACUUUACGGUUGGGCAACCCUUUCCGGCGCCUACUUCUGGAAUGUCAAACCCAGGUAAGGUUCUUCGCUUUGCAUCGAAUUAAGCAACGCGCUCCGCCGCUUGUGCGGGCCCCCGUCAAUUCCUUUGAGUUUUAGCCUUGCGGCCGUACUCCCCAGGCGGCGAACUUAAUGCGUUAGCUUCGGCACAGAGGCCAUGACAGCCCCCACACCUAGUUCGCACCGUUUACGGCCAGGACUAC
rnacentral:misc_RNA from 1 species